rnacentral:rRNA from 1 species
GACGAACGCUGGCGGCGUGCUUAACACAUGCAAGUCGAACGGAAAGGCCUCUUUCGGGGGGUACUCGAGUGGCGAACGGGUGAGUAACACGUGAGUAACCUGCCCUUGACUUUGGGAUAACUUCAGGAAACUGGGGCUAAUACCGGAUAGGAGCUCCUGCUGCAUGGUGGGGGUUGGAAAGUUUCGGCGGUUGGGGAUGGACUCGCGGCUUAUCAGCUUGUUGGUGGGGUAGUGGCUUACCAAGGCUUUGACGGGUAGCCGGCCUGAGAGGGUGACCGGCCACAUUGGGACUGAGAUACGGCCCAGACUCCUACGGGAGGCAGCAGUGGGGAAUAUUGCACAAGGGGUGGAAGCCUGAUGCAGCAACGCCGUGUGCGGGAUGACGGCCUUCGGGUUGUAAACCGCUUUCGCUCAUGACGAAGCUUUGUGUGACGGUAGUGGGUAAAGAAGCACCGGCUAACUACGUG